rnacentral:lncRNA from 12 species
GACUGAUUCUGAAGGUGAAGGGAAAAUGUCAGCUGCUGUCCAGCUUCCCACUGCAAACAGCAACAGUGAAGUGUCAGCUGCUGUCCAGCCUCCUGCUGCAAAGAGCAACAAGUUGUAUGCUGGCUCUGCUGCAGUGGAAUGUGGCAAAGGUAAUUUCAGAGGGACUACAUGAUUACCUUUCUCAGCCCCUCUGGAGUAAAUCAGAUGCAGAAAAUCAAAGAAAAAUAAAUACUCAUAGCUAUUAUGUACUUAUCUUUUCUUAGGGGUCUUGAAACAAGCAUGUAGAGAAGAGAUGAAGGAAGAUGGAGUCUUGCAGCCAGCAGGGGGAGAAGCAAAAGAUGAAGACAACGAUUCUCCCUGGGAUUCUGAGACUGAUUCUGAAGGUGAAGGGAAAAUGUCAGCUGCUGUCCAGCUUCCCACUGCAAACAGCAACAGGUUGUAUGUUGGCUCUGCUGCCGUGGAAUGUGGCAAAGGUAAUUUCAGAGGGACUACAUGGUUAUCUUUGUGAGCCACUCUGGAGUAAAUCAGAUGCAGAAAAUCAAAGAAAAAUAAAUACUCAUAGCUAUUAUGCACUUAUCUUUUCUUAG